GACGUAGGGCGCGAGCGUUGUCCGGAAUUACUGGGCGUAAAGCGCACGUAGGCGGAUACUUAAGUCAGGGGUGAAAUCCCGGGGCUCAACCCCGGAACUGCCUUUGAUACUGGGUAUCUCGAGUCCGGAAGAGGUGAGUGGAAUUCCGAGUGUAGAGGUGAAAUUCGUAGAUAUUCGGAGGAACACCAGUGGCGAAGGCGGCUCACUGGUCCGGUACUGACGCUGAGGUGCGAAAGCGUGGGGAGCAAACAGG
rnacentral:rRNA from 1 species